rnacentral:rRNA from 1 species
CAGUCGCCGCGGUAAUACGUAGGUCCCGAGCGUUGUCCGGAUUUAUUGGGCGUAAAGCGAGCGCAGGCGGUUAGAAAAGUCUGAAGUUAAAGGCUGUGGCUUAACCAUAGUACGCUUUGGAAACUGUUUAACUUGAGUGCAAGAGGGGAGAGUGGAAUUCCAUGUGUAGCGGUGAAAUGCGUAGAUAUAUGGAGGAACACCGGUGGCGAAAGCGGCUCUCUGGCUUGUAACUGACGCUGAGGCUCGAAAGCGUGGGGCGCAAACAGGAUUAGAUACCCCCGUAGUCCCUGUCUCUUAUACA